rnacentral:rRNA from 1 species
CACGUAGGGGGCGAGCGUUGUCCGGAUUCAUUGGGCGUAAAGGGCGCGCAGGCGGCUCGGAAAGUCGGGUGUGAAAACUCGGGGCUCAACCCCGGGCGUGCAUCCGAUACUGCCGGGCUUGAGGCAGGUAGGGGAGAUCGGAAUUCCUGGUGUAGCGGUGAAAUGCGUAGAUAUCCGGAGGAACACCGGUGGCGAAGGCGGCUUCCUGGACCGACACUGACGCUGAGGCGCGAAAGCUAGGGGAGCAAACGGG